CCCAAAAACUGAUUCUUUGCCCUGACUUUUGUUCUUUGUUUUAGGUGAAGGAGAUUGGAGAGGAUUAUGAUUUUAUCAGUUUCCACAGGUCCAGGGCUCCAGCCAUUUGAUGCACGGAGGAAGGAGGAUUGGUCCAUCAGUAGCAGAGACAGAGACUUGUCCAUCAGAUGAGGAAACUGAGGUCCAGAGAAGAUAAAUCGCUUGGAGGGAUUUAUAAGAAAGAACACUAUCCACAUUCAGAGGAAGAAUUGUGGGAGUAGAAACACAGAAGAAAAACAACUGCUUGAUCACAUGGGUGGAUGUGGAUAUGAUUGGGGAUGUAGACUCUAAAUGAUCACCCCAGUGCAAACAUCAACAAUAUGGAAAUAGGCUUUGAUCAAGGACCCAUGUAAUACCCAGUGGAAUUGCACAUGGGCUACUGGAAGGGUGGUUGAAAGGGAGGGAGGGAAAGAAUAUGGUUUUUGUAACCAAGGAAUAAUGUUCU
rnacentral:lncRNA from 1 species